UACUGACGCUGGCGAAACUGGCACCGGCGCUGCCGCUGACGGCGGCAGAACAGUGCAUCCACCUUGACGCGUUCAUCAGCGUCGACAGUGUC
rnacentral:tRNA from 1 species